GAACAAGGGAUCUGAAUAAAUGGGGAAGCUCUGAAGAUAACUCAAGAAGACCCUGGGAGGAUAUGAGGGAAGAAAGCCACGUGAAGAUGGAGGCAGAUACUGGAGUGAUACAGCUGCAAACCAAGGAAUGUCAGUGAUUAACAGCCACCGGCAGAAGCUAGGAAGAGGCAAGGAAGGACAGUACCCAGAGUCUCAGUAGGAACAUGGCCCUGCUGACUCCUUGAAGACCUUUCAGACGUCCAGCCUCCACAACGGUUUUAGGUGAAGAAGAGUUGCCUAGGCUCAAGUUUGAAGUAUUACCAACCCUCACAAUUCAACGAAGAGAGAACACUGCAGCUGAGGCAAAGGAGAAAAUUUAGCACCCUGAUGGCUGCCUUCCUGCUGUGUCCUCACAUGGGAGAGAAAGAGAGAGAGAGAACCUUCUGGUCUCUUCGUAUAAGGACACUAAUCCCAUCAUGAGGAUUCCACCCUCAGGACCUUAUCUAAACCUAAUUGCCUCCC
rnacentral:lncRNA from 1 species